GUCUUCUUGUUAUAUUUAGGAAGUCUGGCCUGCCCAGUGAAAAUAAUUUAACGGCCGCGGUAUACUGACCGUGCAAAGGUAGCAUAAUCAUUAGUCUUUUAAUAGAGGGCUGGUAUGAAGGGUUUAACGAGGUGUUGACUGUCUCAUUUAAUUUGAAUUUAGAAUUUAAUUUUUUAGUUAAAAAGCUAAAAUAUUAUUGGAAGACGAGAAGACCCUAUAGAGCUUUAUACUUUUACUAUUAAUUUAUUAUAGGUUAUUAUUAUUUAUUAUUAGUAGAAAGUAUUUUGUUGGGGUGACAAAAAUAUAUAAAUAACUUUUUUAUUUUAUUUACAUUGAUAUAUGAAUAUUAGAUCCAAUCUUAUUGAUUGUUAGAUUAAGUUACCUUAGGGAUAACAGCGUAAUCCCUCUCCAGAGUUCAUAUUUACAGAGGGGCUUGCGACCUCGAUGUUGGAUUAAGAUAAUAAUUAGGUGCAGCCGCUUAAUUAAUAGGUCUGUUCGACCUUUAAAUUCUU
rnacentral:rRNA from 1 species